rnacentral:rRNA from 1 species
UUGCGGUGAAUACGUUCCCGGGUCUUGUACACACCGCCCGUCAAACCAUGAAAGGUGACCAACACCCGAAGUCCGAUUCGUCGGCCUAAGGUGGGGGCAUGAUUGGGGUUU